CGGAAUUACUGGGCGUAAAGCGCACGCAGGCGGUUUGUUAAGUCAGAUGUGAAAUCCCCGAGCUUAACUUGGGAACUGCAUUUGAAACUGGCAAGCUAGAGUCUUGUAGAGGGGGGUAGAAUUCCAGGUGUAGCGGUGAAAUGCGUAGAGAUCUGGAGGAAUACCGGUGGCGAAGGCGGCCCCCUGGACAAAGACUGACGCUCAGGUGCGAAAGCGUGGGGAGCAAACAGGAUUAGAUACCCUGGUAGUCCACGCUGUAAACGAUGUCGACUUGGAGGUUGUGCCCUUGAGGCGUGGCUUCCGGAGCUAACGCGUUAAGUCGACCGCCUGGGGAGUACGGCCGCAAGGUUAAAACUCAAAUGAAU
rnacentral:rRNA from 1 species